CUGUUUUUGCGCAGCGCCCUCGAUCUGCCAACCAAUCGCUGAGGAGCACCACCCACCGGGCCGCCGCCAAUUGGCCAGCCCGGCUGUCAGGCAGGCGCGUCACUCGGCAGCCGGGAGGGGGCGGGACGCAACCCGGGCCGGGGCGGGAGGCCGGGGUGAGUGUGAGUGUGAGAGCGAGAACAGCCCGGCAGGUCCCGAGGCGCGGGCUGGGGACUGUGCCGCGGAAAGUUCCCAGUCCCCAGCCGCAGGUAAACGCAGAGGGAAUAGACAGAGGCUCCCCCGUUUGCAUCAGCAAAUGCGAAAACAUAAUAGCAACAGCAGCGGCAUCCUCUCUCCGGAGCGGGGUUUCCAAUGACGCUAACAUUCUUUUUCCUUUAAGUACAGAACGGUCCCCUGCGGCUUCCCGCUAAUGGAUGACCCGAGAGUGACACCGCCACAACCUGCGAGAAAAGGAGAGCCCCUUCCCCGCCCCGAGAUCUGCGGGAUUGAAAUGAAAAAUCUUGAGCUCUUCCAGCUGACUCAUCAGAAUCCUGGAGCAAUUUUUUUUUUUUUUAAUGACGAAAUGGAAGAAAAAAAAUUUAAAUUGUCAAUAAGAAGUCUUUCAAACACCAGACUCGGCCAGGAUUGA
rnacentral:lncRNA from 1 species